CGUAAAACAAGUGCUACGUAGUUUACGGCUGUAUUUCUGAGUUGGCAAUGUUCGUUUGUGUGAAAGAAAUUUGUCCGAAACGUUUUGGCCAUGUACUUCUACGACACUGAACUGUUUUUGAAAGACGAGAAAACGCAGCCAUGAAUCCACCCGUAUACCUUAGCAGAACAAGCCACUUCCGGGCUCCUUCCUUCCCUCUGGUCCCCCUAUGAUGACGUCACCACAUUCCAUCUACCUCAGCGGUUCCUUUCCCAGCAUUCCCGUUCCAUUUCGGUCCCCACAGCAUUUAAAUAUCCACCAUUUUCAUCUGUUGUUGUCUGUAAUGAGUUCCAUGCUUGACCCAAAACAAGACUGUAAACAAACCCGUUUUCAGUAUACGAGGAUGGACUCCCAACACUUUCACCUUGUAUUUGUACUUCUUUUUACACUGUAUAAGAAGUCUUCCUUCAGUCUUGUUCAUUUAAGUAAAUCAACCAGAACCUAA